UCCUUCCUUCCUUCCUCCAAUUUCUCUCUUACUCCUUCUGCCCUCUCUCUUUCAUAUGCCUUAGGUGCAUCCCACAUUCUGCGUUUUUUUGGGGAAAUCCUCGACAGGUGCAGGAAAAUUGUGUUAUUGUAACUAUUUACCGCUAUCUCUCUUUCACGGCUCUCCAUCAGUUGUGAACAUCUAUUGGUUUAUCCCAAGUCACUAAGCAUAUUUUUAUUAGGUACACCUGUUUUUCCUUAUACAGCUGUUUCUGGAGUAUAGGGUCGCAUACUCAUAAACCCAGUGUAACUCAGAACCGCAUCUCAUAUUCCAAUAAACCCAUCAUAACGUUGAAAAAUCAUGAAUCAAACCAUCAUAAGUCACGGUUUGUCCGUGGAUAUGGGUGUCAUCAAUUCCAUUGUAUACAGUAAUGCUGUACACCAUUAACAAUGGCAUACUGAUUGGGAGUGGAUAUUGAUAGCAUUAUAAAAGUCAGUUAUUAGAGGGAUACUUCUUUAACCUCACUGAAGA
rnacentral:lncRNA from 1 species